rnacentral:lncRNA from 1 species
UGCAAGUCAUUGGCCUAAAACUAGACCCAGGCACACCCGCCCUUGCCAUCUCUGGAUUCUUUGUUUAUGACAUUCUCUGAUCAUCUUUCGUCCCAGCUAUUGAUGUUGGCUGAAGUCCUGGAAAGCCCUGUGUUCUUCAAUGAGGCAUCACAGUCUCACCUAUUCUUGCUGACGCAUGCUUCCUAUGAAUGUUUUACUGACCUCACAAAUUCACAGCACAGAGAGGGGAACCAUAAACUAAAAUGCUUCUCGUGUGAACCUGACUUCCUUCUACCUGACUUGGUACUGCUGCAGCUGCUACGAGAAACACCAUUCACUGCGGCUCCUGGAGGUGCCAUUCCUGUGGAACACGACGUAUGCGAGCAUCCAAGACCGGCCGGUUUGUGACAGCAGAUGCCAGACCCCUAGAGGAGGCAGAGGCGACUCCCCCGGAACACAGAAGUCUCACAGGCAGGAAGACACUGGGGGGUGGGGGGGGCAGGGUCAGGGAAAGGGGGGGAGGCCUCGAGCUGGCCUCCUGGGAGGUCAGCACUUCCCUCCAGCUCCUUCUGAGCCCCAUUUCUCCGUGUCUCCCCAGGGAGGGCUCAUACACAUGGAAGAAAGACCUGGUGCCCACCAGUGAGAUCCCAGAAGGAGCGGAGAGUGUGGGCAGACUGAACGGAGACCCUGCUGUCCUCCAGGGCCCUUUGGUCCUGAAAGAUCCAUGGAGGAGCCACUCGUGGGGUCCAAACCAAGGGCCCCAUCCAGUUGCGCGUGCAGCUCCAUUCUGAACUUCCUGAAC